rnacentral:misc_RNA from 1 species
ACUGAAGAAACGAAAAAAUGGCGAAUUCCGAUAUGGCUUUGUUGACAGAAAAACGUUUAAAAGAAAUGGAAGCGGAGAUGAACCGCUUUGAGCAGGAGAUUCUGGUGCCAAAAGACUUUGAGGCAGGAGGAUCGCGGAUGAUUAUUGGUGCUGGCACAUUCAAUAAAGUCAAAGCCCAAAUCACAGGAAAUGAUGAACCUCCACAUAAGAUGGCCCACCAUGAAGGCCCUCCCCAGGGCCCUCCGCCAAGGGCGAAACCUCCACACCCAGAGGGCUCACAAUACUCGGACCCCCUCAUCCCCAUUCCAUGCCAAAUCGAGGUCCUAUGAUGAGACCUCCAUAUGGAGGUCCGGGUCCCCAGGGACCUAUGCCACCUUUUCAUGGAGGACCUCCACUGGAGCAGAAAAAAGAGCCAAUGAUUGAAAAACCAAGAGUUGUCUACUCCUCUGCUCCUGUCAUCAACAAACCAGAGAAAAAGAAAAAGAAAAAAAAGGAGGAGGAAGGGGGACCACAGGGGGACACAGGAGACCAGAGUAAAGUGGGGCCCUCAGGGGGAAUUGUUCCAGCUAUGAUGCCAGUACCACAGCCAGAAGUAAAAGUGCAUGAACCAAUACAUGAGCCUGAGCCUGUGAUGGAAGUAGUGCCCAAAAGAGAGAAGAAAGAGAAGAAGCCCAAGAAGAUAAUCCGGACAGCGGCAGGAGAGACCUGGGAGGAUCCAUCGCUGGAGGAGUGGGAGAAAGAUGAUUUUAGAAUAUUCUGUGGAGAUCUAGGGAACGAAGUCACCGAUGAAGUCUUGGCCCGUGCUUUCAGUAGAUACCCCUCUUUUUUAAAGUCCAAAGUUGUUCGAGACAAAAGAACUAACAAAACGAAAGGUUACGGAUUUGUGAGCUUCAAAGAUCCCAAUGAUUUCGUCCAGGCCAUGAGAGAAAUGAAUGGAAAGUACGUGGGAAAUAGGCCAAUAAAACUAAGAAAGAGCAGUUGGAGGGACAGAAAUAUUGAAAUAGUCAGGAAAAAGGAUAAAGAGAAGAAACGAUUGGGUCUCCGUUAAUUGGACAGGAUCGGAAGUGGACUAUUUUUCAUCAUUUAAAUAAGUUUUCAUAAAUGAUAAGUGUUGACUUUAAUGUACAAGUGUAUAGCAAAGGUACGAGUGAUGAAUGUAACAGACAAAUAAACUUAAUCGAUUUG